CUUCAAUAGUCGUACAAAAGAGAUGUGUUGCUCCUCCUCCUGCCAUCCCCGCCGGUUUACCGCUUCCUCAUACUUUUAAUACACUUAAAUAACUGUGGUAACUGAGGAUUGCUAUGUCUGGCUGUGUCUACUGCAACAUUGAUCAACACGGCAACCUUGACCAGUCUGAGGGGUGGAGACUACACUAGUAAAUGGUCUGAUUCAUAACAUUUAGUAUUAUAUGGAGAUGCAGCAGUUGGAGACGUCGUUGAGGUGGGCAGGGCCCACUUGUAAGGUUGAAGAUAUUCUCCGUGGGCAGCUGCUGUGUGAAGUCAAGUCCAUGUUGUGGGCAGCUGCUGUGUGGUGAAGUCCAUGUUGUGGGCAGCUGCUGUGUGGUGAAGUCCAUGUUGUGGGCAGCUGCUGUGUGGUGAAGUCCAUGUUGUGGGCAGCUGCUGUGUGGUGAAGUCCAUGUUGUGGGCAGCUGCUGUGUGGUGAAGUCCAUGUUGUGGGCAGCUGCUGUGUGGUGAAGUCCAUGUUGUGGGCAGCUGCUGUGUGGUGAAGUCCAUGUUGUGGGCAGCUGCAAGUCUUCAGAGA